GAUGAACGCUGGCGGCGUGCCUAACACAUGCAAGUCGAACGGAGUCCAGCCUUUAAGACCUUCGGGUCAAAGAGGGGAAGACUGAGUGGCGGACGGGUGAGUAACACGUGGGCAACCUGGCUCAUAGAGGGGGAUAACAGAGAGAAAUUUCUGCUAAUACCGCAUAAGCACACACUGCCGCAUGGCAGAGGGUGAAAAGAGAAUCGCUAUGAGAUGGACCCGCGUCUGAUUAGCCAGUUGGCAGGGUAAGAGCCUACCAAAGCGACGAUCAGUAGCCGAUCUGAGAAGAUGAACGGCCACAUUGGGACUGAGACACGGCCCAAACUCCGACGGGAGGCAGCAGAGGGGGAUAUUGCACAAUGGGGGGAACCCUGAUGAAGCGACGCCGCGUGAGUGAAGAAGUAUUUCGGUAUGUAAAGCUCUAUCAGCAGGGAAGAUAAUGACAGUACCUGAAUAAGAAGCCCCGGCUAACUACGUG
rnacentral:rRNA from 1 species